UGAUCCAGCCAUGCCCGCGUGUGUGAAGAAGGCCUUCGGGUUGUAAAGCUCUUUUGUUGGGGAAGAAACCGGCCGGGCUUAAUACCCUGGUUGAAUGACGGUACCCAAAGAAUAAGCACCGGCUAACUUCGUGCCAGCAGCCGCGGUAAUACGAAGGGUGCAAGCGUUACUCGGAAUUACUGGGCGUAAAGCGUGCGUAGGCGGUUUGUUAAGUCUGCUGUGAAAGCCCUGGGCUCAACCUGGGAACUGCAGUGGAUACUGGCGAGCUAGAGUGUGUCAGAGGAUGGUGGAAUUCCCGGUGUAGCGGUGAAAUGCGUAGAGAUCGGGAGGAACACCAGUGGCGAAGGCGGCCAUCUGGGACAACACUGACGCUGAGGCACGAAAGCGUGGGGAGCAAACAGGAUUAGAUACCCUGGUAGUCCACGCCCUAAACGAUGCGAACUGGACGUUGGGCACACUUAGGUGCUCAGUGUCGAAGCUAACGCGUUAAGUUCGCCGCCUGGGGA
rnacentral:rRNA from 1 species